rnacentral:rRNA from 1 species
UACGAAGGGGGCUAGCGUUGCUCGGAAUCACUGGGCGUAAAGGGUGCGUAGGCGGGUCUUUAAGUCAGGGGUGAAAUCCUGGAGCUCAACUCCAGAACUGCCUUUGAUACUGAGGAUCUUGAGUUCGGGAGAGGUGAGUGGAACUGCGAGUGUAGAGGUGAAAUUCGUAGAUAUUCGGAAGAACACCAGUGGCGAAGGCGACACACUGGCCCGAUACUGACGCUGAGGCGCGAAAGCGUGGGGAGCAAACAGG